rnacentral:rRNA from 1 species
CGGGGUGAGUAAUGUAUGGGGAUCUGCCUGAUGGCGGGGGAUAACUACUGGAAACGGUAGCUAAUACCGCAUAACGUCGCAAGACCAAAGAGGGGGACCUUCGGGCCGUCUUGCCAUCGGAUGUGCCCAGAUGGGAUUAGCUAGUAGGUGGGGUAACGGCUCACCUAGGCGACGAUCCCUAGCUGGUCUGAGAGGAUGACCAGCCACACUGGAACUGAGACACGGUCCAG